GGUCCUGUAGCUCAGUGGUUAGAGCGAUGGUCUUAUGAGCCAUAUGCCGUGGGUUCAGCCCCCGCUGGGACUA
rnacentral:tRNA from 1 species